GCUUUUGUAGACAUAUGCAAAUAUAUGAAAAUAGUAAUGCUGUGAAGCUGCUCUUGGAGAUAAAGAUGAAGAAUUUAUGUCCACCAAAAUCCAACUUCCUGUUCUUAAAGUACAAAAUAUUUGUGUUUUCAGUUUUAUCUUUCCCACCUCAAUUAUCACCAAAUUUAAUUAAAAGAAAAAAAUAUUCUGGAGCAUUAAUUUGUUUCUCUGUAAACUUUCCAUCUCAGAGAGAACCAAGUUUCAGAUUGUAGACCUGUCUUAAAUUGCCUUAUUAUUUGUUUAAUGUAUUUAUUUAUUUUGAGAGAGAGAGAGUAAGCAAGCAGGGGUGACAGAAAGAGGGGGAGAGAGAGAGAAUCCCAAGCAGGUUCUGGACACUGUCCACACAGAGCCCAGUGCAGAGCUUGAUCCACAAACCAUGAGGUCAUGACCUGAGCUGAAAUCAAGAGUCUGACACCUAACUGACUGAGCCACUCAGCACCCUCCCUUAAACUGCCUUUCUAUCUGUUGCAAGAAGUUUCACAAUGAAAGGAAAGUCUUGGAAAAGUCGUGAUGGGUGAAUGGUUAUCAGAACUUGUUUCAGUUAUUCUCAUUGUCGUAUACAUUGGUGCAGGUGAACCAAGUUGGAAUGAAAAAAUGACUAUAUGCUGGUAGCAUGAGUUCAUUCAGAACUGGGGAUCUAAGCAGCUUCCACUGUGAUGCUACAGAUAUGACUAUGAUAAAUGUCCUGGGUGCGCUCGAAGGCAGAAGUGAGGAGAUGGAUGGAUGGAGAGGAAAUGAAAUAGAAGAUCCACAGUAGACUACAGAAGCUGACUCUAGAAAAGGGUAGAAGAUGACAUUUUGAAGGUAGAAAAUGCAUUAAAAGAAUUGAAAGUAUCUCUCUCUCUCUCUCUUCCCUGCCCUACAUCUCUCUAGCUAUCCAUCUAUCAUCUUGUAUCUGUGUAUCUAUGCAUGGGUGUGUAUGACAUAUUAAGUAAGAAAAAUAACCAAGGCAACGUAACUUUCCCUAAUAGGGUAUUAAACUUUGAACAGUUGGUUGAAGUGCAGAGUCGUAACUAAUUGAAAUUAGUAUAUCAGCUCUGGUAAAAUAAAUUUGACAGGAAAAUUGGGACUAGCAAAUAUUUCUUUUAAUAUAUAAAA